rnacentral:rRNA from 1 species
UAUCUUCCCAUUGGUGAGGAAUAACACGAGGAAACUUGUGCUAAUACCUCAUAAGUCUUUACGGAGAAAGCUUUAUGCGCCGAUGGAUGAGCCUGCACUUGAUUAGUUUGUUGGUAGGGUAAUGGCCUACCAAGACAAUGAUCAAUAGCUGAUUUGAGAGGAUGAUCAGCCACAUUGGGACUGAGACACGGCCCAAACUCCUACGGGAGGCAGCAGUAGGGAAUCUUGCACAAUGGGGGAAACCCUGAUGCAGCGAUGCCGCGUGAGUGAAGAAGGCCUUUGGGUUGUAAAGCUCUUUCGUCGGGGAAGAAAAUGACUGUACCCGAAUAAGAAGGUCCGGCUAACUUCGUGCCAGCAGCCGCGGUAAUACGAAGGGACCUAGCGU